AUUGAACGCUGGCGGCAGGCCUAACACAUGCAAGUCGAACGAGGGGCGGACGGGUGAGUAAUGUGUGGGAAUGUGCCUGGUGGAGGGGGAUCUCUACUGGAAAGUGUCUAUAAUCCCGCAUACUAAGAUGUGCGCACAUAUGGGAUUAGCUAGUUGGGGGGGUAACGGCUCACAGAGGCGACGAUCCCUAGCUGGUGUGAGAGGAUGACCAGCAACACUGGAACUGAGACACGGUCCAGACUCCUACGGGAGGCAGCAGUGGGGAAUAUUGCACAAUGGGCGCAAGCCUGAUGCAGCCAUGCCGCGUGUAUGAAGAAGGCCUUCGGGUUGUAAAGUACUUGCAGCGGGGAGGCGUUACCCGCAGAAGAAGCACCGGCUAACUCCGUGCCAGCAGCCGCGGUAAUUC
rnacentral:rRNA from 1 species